UGAAAUUGAAGUUUUGAACUUAUAUUUUCGAGCUUUCCAUAUAAAUCAACAAUAACACCAAUUAUUUUGAUUGACAACAAAAUUAUACAUAGAAUGGGCUAAUAGCAAUACAUUGCCUCCACUUCCUCUCUUCCAUCUUAAGUUGACUCUCUCUCUCUCUCUUCAUUCUCUCUCUCUUGACAAUCCCUUGCUUCUAUAGGGC
rnacentral:lncRNA from 1 species